rnacentral:rRNA from 1 species
GAUGAACGCUGGCGGCGUGCCUAAUACAUGCAAGUCGAGCGAACAGACGAGGAGCUUGCUCCUCUGACGUUAGCGGCGGACGGGUGAGUAACACGUGGAUAACCUACCUAUAAGGCUGGGAUAACUUCGGGAAACCGGAGCUAAUACCGGAUAAUAUAUUGAACCGCAUGGUUCAAUAGUGAAAGACGGUUUUGCUGUCACUUAUAGAUGGAUCCGCGCCGCAUUAGCUAGUUGGUAAGGUAACGGCUUACCAAGGCAACGAUGCGUAGCCGACCUGAGAGGGUGAUCGGCCACACUGGAACUGAGACACGGUCCAGACUCCUACGGGAGGCAGCAGUAGGGAAUCUUCCGCAAUGGGCGAAAGCUUGACGGAGCAACACCGCGUGAGUGAUGAAGGUCUUCGGAUCGUAAAACUCUGUUAUUAGGGAAGAACAAAUGUGUAAGUAACUAUGCACGUCUUGACGGUACCUAAUCAGAAAGCCACGGCUAACUACGUG